rnacentral:misc_RNA from 1 species
GAUGAAGAACGUAGCGAAAUGCGAUAAGUAAUGUGAAUUGCAGAAUUCAGUGAAUCAUCGAAUCUUUGAACGCACAUUGCGCCCGCCAGUAUUCUGGUGGGCAUGCCUGUUCGAGCGUCAUUUCAACCAUCAAGCCCCCGGGCUUGUGUUGGGGACCUGCGGCUGCCGCAGGCCCUGAAAACCAGUGGCGGGCUCGCUAGUCACUCCGAGCGUAGUAGUUACAUCUCGCUCAGGGCGUGCUGCGGGUUCCGGCCGUUAAAAGCCUUUUACCCCAAGGUUGACCUCGGAUCAGGUAGGAAGACCCGCUGAACUUAAGCAUAUCAAUAAGCGGAGGA